rnacentral:rRNA from 1 species
AUUGAACGCUGGCGGCAGGCUUAACACAUGCAAGUCGAGCGGUAGCACAGGGGAGCUUGCUCCCUGGGUGACGAGCGGCGGACGGGUGAGUAAUGUCUGGGAAACUGCCUGAUGGAGGGGGAUAACUACUGGAAACGGUAGCUAAUACCGCAUAACGUCGCAAGACCAAAGAGGGGGACCUUCGGGCCUCUUGCCAUCAGAUGUGCCCAGAUGGGAUUAGCUAGUAGGUGGGGUAAUGGCUCACCUAGGCGACGAUCCCUAGCUGGUCUGAGAGGAUGACCAGCCACACUGGAACUGAGACACGGUCCAGACUCCUACGGGAGGCAGCAGUGGGGAAUAUUGCACAAAGGGCGCAAGCCUGAUGCAGCCAUGCCGCGUGUGUGAAGAAGGCCUUCGGGUUGUAAAGCACUUUCAGCGAGGAGGAAGGUGGUGAGCUUAAUACGUUCAUCAAUUGACGUUACUCGCAGAAGAAGCACCGGCUAACUCCGUG